GCAGGUGUGGCGGAAUUGGCAGACGCGCUAGCUUCAGGUGCUAGUGUUCGCAAGGACGUGUGGGUUCAAGUCCCACCAUCUGCA
rnacentral:tRNA from 1 species